rnacentral:lncRNA from 1 species
ACUCAGUAUAUAGCUUAGAUGCAGCAGAACUCUUCCACAUAGCAGUAGUGUCUAGCAAACCAGUGUGGUCCAGAGAGGUGGUGUUCACUGAUUUAAUGUUUAAGUUGAUAGAUUCAGGGAAAGUGAGCAGUGAAACAAUUUCUGCUUUUCACCAAGAGCAGAGGUUUUCUAAAUAAGUCGAAGGGGAAAACCCUUGGAUGCUUCAUAGUCCUACUUCUAGGCAGUUCUGCAUGAAUUUCUGGUAAUCCAG